rnacentral:lncRNA from 1 species
UAUUAAUUAAUUGCUAAGAUAAACUAGAAGAUUCAAUGUUGAAAUGAAGCUAAAAUUGCUAAAAAUAGCUAAAACUAUCGAAGUCACGAGUGCAGCUCAGUACUUAAACUAUCUGAUGACCUAAAAAUGGAAAAAGAAGCUAUUUAUACUAAGUUAAAAAAUCUGGACAGAAAUACCCCUACGGGGCUAGUGCGGACCGCACAAAAUCACGUGCGGCCGCACUAGGGCUCUAAACUUGAAAAUCUAGCUCUUUGAACUCGGGCAAUGCGGACUGCACAGACUCGAGUGCAGCAGUAUUGGCUUCUAGUGCGGUCCGCAUGAAAUGGAGCACGGACCGCAUUGGUUUCAAUCUCCAAACUGGCACUUCUCUAAUCCUUGGUUCUGCGGACCGCACUAAAUCGAGUGCGAUCGCAGUGACUCCAAUGCGGACUGCAUUAAAUCUCAUGCGGCUACAUUGCCUGUUGGCCUGGAUAUCAGCCUCUCUGAACCUCACUUGUGCGGACCGCACAGAAUGGUGUGCGGCCGUUUUAGGCCUGUUUUGCUUGAGCUUUGUCUUGUCUUGGUACUUGUGCAAGUUUCACUCCCUUUUGAGCUAAUCUUUGACAUCUUGUCACUUUUUUGAUCAAACCUGGAAUCAAGAACAACUUGUGAGCCUUUUGGGACUAUUUUGUACANNNNNNNNNNNNNNNCGUAACAUCACCGUAAUGUAAUACUACAGGGUGCGACACUGUCGUAACUAAUUACUGCAAAGCAUAAUAUCACCGUAAUGUAAUACUGUCCGGUACAACACUAUUAUAACUUAAUACUGCAGGACGUAACAUCAAUCAUAAUAUAUUGCUGCAGAGGAUAACAUCAUCAUAAUAUAUUACUGCAGAGCAUAACAUCGUCGUAAUAUAAUACUACGGGAUGUAAUAUCGACAUAAUAUUGCAGGAGUAACAAGGAAUUAAACUCUUAAUCCCUCCCUAACUUGUAAUACACCUACUACAAGCCACUUUGCAAUACAACUAUUACAAAGACUUCAAUUCAUGACUAACUCUAGUCACGACACAAACACUAAGGGUUUAUGGUUUUUCAAGAGUUCCUAAAAGAAGCUUCUAAAUAAGCAAAGUAGGAAUUACAAUGAAGAAAAAUUACAAAGUUACAACUCACCAAAGGAUAUACAAGAGACUUGUUGUUGGAACUGAUCUAUAGUAGUGUUAUAUUUUGUUCUUGAUGUACUUGAGAACUGAAUACUUGAUUUUCAAAUGCAUGAAUGCUUUUGUGAAUUCUCUAAUUGUUCAAGUGAUGUUUUGCUGUAAUGUUUAAUGUUAAUACAAUAUGGAUGACAUCACUUGAAUGAUGUAAUCACUUGGUAGGUCAAUAAGAAGUGAUUGUUGAACUGUGCUGCACUAUUUCUGUGUGUAGUGCAGGCAGUCACUUUCUAGCUAUAGACAGUUGACUUCGUAUUAUUGUCAAGGAAACUCAAGGGUAUCAAGUCCCUGUGUUGAUUCUCUAUCUUCUGAAGUCAUAGCAACUCACAUUAGCUGGAGUCCGUUGAUUUGAGUUGUGUACCAAGUGUGUCAGGUUCCUUAUCUGGUUCUCUGAUAGUAAGUUUGUUAGAUCAUCAAAACAUAAAGCUAAGGUAUUGUAAAACCAUCAAUUUUCCCCUUUUUGAUUAUGACAAACUUAGAAAUUGAUAACACAUGUUUAAAGCAAAAUUAAUAGAUGAAGUAACAAGAACUACAUAAGUUUCCCCUAACUUAAUACUUCCCCCUUAAUCAGAUCCCUAUUUCAAUUAUGCUUCCUAUUUUUGGAAUCAUUAAAAAUACACAAGAAAGAAAUCAACAUAAAGAAGUCUAGCCGAACUAACUCAUGCCACAUAUGUGCACACAACAUGAUAGAAAAGAGAAGCAGAGAAACAUAAGUAAUAAAUAGGAAAAGAUGAUAGUUUUUAUAAACCAUAAGCCUUUGCCAUUACAGCAAAGGCAAAUUUGGACUGUUAUCAUCAGGAUCAGUACAAGGAAAUUUUAUCCACACCACAAAAGAGGUAGAGGGUUAGCCUAGGGGACACUAGAAGGAGAGGGAUUAAAAGCUGCGGGAAGAGUGUUGAGAACGAGAUCAAUUUGGGCAUUGGCCGACAUUUGAUUUGCGAGCAGUUUCUCCUGUAGGUUCUCCACUUGUUGCCUGAGAUCGGUAUUUUCUUUGGUCAGACGAGCGAUCUCCUCAUUUGAUCCUGGUGCCCCUUGGGCCUGCUGACUCUCCAGAAUGUCAUUCUUUGCCUUCAACUUCCUAAACUCCUCAGUAGAACUAUUCUGGGCAUUGAUAAGCUGAGUGAUUGUUGAAGUGCUUCCUACCCCUCCACCUUUUUCAACACAUUCACAUUCCUCCAAAGUAGUUUGAGAGAAUGUCUUCUUCUUGGUCCCUAUCUUGGGAUGUCACAGAGGUACGUCAAAGAACUUGAAGACAUGCGUGAGAAGAAAUCCAUAGGGAAGACCAUGGUUUCCAUCUUUGAAAGUUGUCACCUUUUGCAUGUGCUUAAUCAUGAUGGCUGGCAAGUUUACAGCGCGGAACCCAUCCAGUGCUUCCAUCAAAUACAGAUCAGACUUGGAAGUGAUGGACCUUCUCUUAACACGGGGUAGAAGAACCUUGUUUACCAACUCAAACAAUAGCUGAUAAAUAGAAAUAAGAGCUUUCUUGUGUACUCGUUCCCCCUGCGGGACUACUCCCUCCUUUACAAUAGCAUAAUAACCGCAUAUAUUCUUGAUAGAGGACAUACCAUCAGCAAGGACCUUAAGUAUGUCCCCAAGCAGAGCAACAUCCAAAACAAUAUUAACUCCAUUGACCAGAGCACACAUAUGAUCAGUUUCAACAGGAAAGAGGUUUGCAUAGAAACUUUGGACCUCAUCCUCAUAGACUUUGGGUACAUCCACCUUGAACAGAUGUCCCCACUGUUGAAAUUCGACCAUGUCUACUAUUUUCCUCAUACCAUCCAUUUUAGAGAUUUCUGGGUCAAAAGUGCGACCCCAUAGAAUCUUUUGGUACCUCAGCCUUUCCUUAGAAGACAUACUUUCAUGUUUCACUCUCUUUGCAGAAUCAGGUUCCCUCCCAGUUUCCAACUUUCUUUUCCCAGACUUCACAUGCGAUUUACCCUUUCGACCGGAUCUCACUAAGAUAUCCUCAUCAGAUAAUGAUUGUUCACCCACUACUUGUUUCAACUUGUCACCACUUCUCACUGACUUUGAACUUGGCAUAUCAAUACCUUCCUCUGAAGCAUUUUCACCAUAUCGCUUAUUUUUCUAAGACUUUUUAACCAAUGAACUUGGUUUCUCUACUACUUCCUCAUCCAUUUCCACUACAGGAAUGUUUUUGUCACACACAACCUCUCCAUUUUUCACUAGCCUCUUUUUCUUCUUCUUUCUACUCCUUUUACUCUUCUGUAGGGCAGACUCUAAAGCCUCCUUUGCCUGUAAUCUAGUAGUAGGACACUUAGGAGAAGGCUCGGGAGUGGUUACUGCCCUCCUUUUGGCAAUGAACGCAUAUAGAGUAACAUUAUCUUGAUCUUCUUCAUCACUAGACCUCAUAGCAGGAGCCAAAAUUUCUAACGGCUCAACAUCAAAGUGAGGAGAAGGAGCAGGGUCAAAAUUGACCUGGGAAGAAGAUCCUUGACCUGUUUCCUCAGGAGAGGGGUCAUGUCCUUCAAGAAGGGUCCCAGUAGUUUCUUCUGGUGCAGGGUAUUCAAAGAGCACCACAGUUACUUCUCCCACUAACGACUAAGUCUCUACUCCCUAAGACACAGGCAUAGUAGAGAUGACCCCACACAUUAUUCCUUUGGCAGAUAUGGCCAAUAUGUUUUCUAUAGCCUCUUUCUCUUAAGAUUCCAUGGGUGCAACAAACUCUGAGAUGGGAACAAUUGUAGACUAAUCAAUACUAACCUUUGAGACUUUUUCUGCCUAUAGAGCCUCACUUUGUUCUCUAUCUUUGCUUUGUGCUGUGAGAAUCUCAGGCGAUAGAGACAAAAAGCUAUCGAGUUUGGGGGUUUCUGAGUUCUCAACACUUAGAGGGAGAGAGAGGUCUGAGGGAGUGAUAGGAGAAAUAUAGGGUGAAGAGGAGUCAGGUUUAGGGGUAUCAUUUGUAGUGGUGGUAGAAAAGGGGAUGGUGAGAGGUGUUUCACUAGAAACGGAAGAAUCAAGGGUUUUCUCUGGGGUUUUCUCAACUAAGGGGUGGAUUAUUGGUUGAUCUUCAGCCAUGGUAGAGAAGAAGUUUGAAGAUUUUACAGAAGGGCUGAAGAGAAGAGAUGAUCAUUCAAAGUGAUGAGAGGGUUUUAAUGGGAGAAAAGACAAUUAUAAGGGAGAGAGAAACCGGUUCUAAAAUGGCGGUAGUUUUGUGGGGAGAUGCAACGUUUCAUAGGGAGGUAAAGGAAUUUGAAUGAAAAAACGUGACAUACAGGGUCUGAAAAGGUUGAUGACAUGGCACUCAAUUUUUAUUUCCUUUUAAGAUAUGUAUGAAAAGCACAAGACUACUAACAUGUGGUACAAGAACUAGGUUCUUGACCUGUCUUUCAAAAGUUCUCAAUCCUCUUUUACCUCUCAUGCAGUGCUUCUGCAGCUUCUAUAAUCAUCAUGUGUGUUUACCUGCAACGGUAUUGAUGUGAGUUUGACUUGACCGAAAAGCAGUUUAGCUACUUUACCUGAAUGUGACUUUCUAGCCAUAUAGAAGGAAUCAAAUUCUCAAAUAGGCUUUAUUAGCCCCAGGUCUAGCCUAUUUCUCUCAAAAUAUUCUCUACUUAGUGCUUUGGUGAAGAUAUUUGUGAUUUGGUCUUCUGUACUAUAAAACUUCAUGCAGAUGAGCCCUUUCUCCAUGUUGUCUCUAAGAAAAUAAUGUCUCACAUCAAUGUUCUUGGUUCUUUUAUGUUGAAGCGGGUUCUUGGAAAUGUUGAGUGCACUAGUGUUGUCACAUAGAAGAGACACACAGUCAGUAUACACACCAAAAUCUUCUAACUACUGUUUGAUCCAUAGGAGAUAAGUAUGGCAGGAAGCUGCAGCAACAUAUUCUGCUUUAGCUUGAAGAAAGAGCAACUGAAUUUUGCUUCCUUGUGCCCCAUGAGAUGAGACAUGAUCCUAGAAAGUGAGCCAUUCCAAAUGUGCUUUUCCUAUAUACAAGAUAACCUGCAUAGUCAGCAUCAGCAUACCCAAUAAGAUUUAAAUUGUCACCUGAAGGAUAGUACAUGACUAGGUCCUAUGUUCCCUUAAGAUAUCUCAAAAUUCUUUUGGCAGCCUUCAGAUGAGAUUCCUUGGGAUUUGACUGAAACCUUGCACAUCGACCCACACUAAAGACAAUAUCUAGUUUGUUAGCAAUGAGAUAGAGAAUAGACCCAAUAAUGCCUCUAUACAUGGUUUGAUUUAUAGGAGAGCUAGAUUCAUCCAUGUCCAGUCGAGUAGCAGUGGCGAUAGGAGUGUUAAUCACUUUUGAUGCUUCCAUAUCAAACCUCUUCAGGAGUUCCUUGAUGUAUUUCUACUGACUGAUGAAUGUACCCUUUGUGGACUGCUUCACUUGAAGACCCAAGAUGAAAUUCAACUCACCCAUCAUGCUCAUCUCAAACUCACUUCCCAUGAGUUUUGCAAAUUUUUCACAUAGUGAAUCAGUUGUUGCCCAAAAAAUGAUAUCAUCAACAUAUACCUAAAAGAUGAGAAGGUUCCUCCCUCGUUUCAUCAGCAACAAAGUGUUGUCAAUUUUUCCUCUUGUAAAACCAUUUUCUAAGAGAAACUUUGACAGUCUUUCAUACCAAGCUCGAGGAGCCUGCUUCAACCCAUACAAUGUCUUGUCCAAUUUAAACACAUAAUCAGGCUGUUCAUGACAUUCAAAGCUUGGAGGUUGCUUUACAUAAACUUCUUCCUUAAGUAAUCCAUUCAAAAAUGCACUUUUGACAUCCAUUUGGAAUAGAGUGAAUUCCAUAUGUGAAGCAAGGGCAAUGAGGAUUCUGAUAGCUUCCAUACGAGCAACCAUCAUAAUCAAUUCCUUCCUCCUGAUUGUAGCCUUGAGCCACUAGCCUUGCCUUGUUCCUUGUAGUGUUUCCAUGUUCAUCAAGCUUAUUCCUGAAUACCCACCAGGUUCCUAUGAUGGUUCGAUUUGAGGUUCGAACUGAUGCAACUCAUCUUGCAUGGUUGUGAUCUAGUCUGCAUCUUUUAAGGCUUCCUUGAUGUUUUUGGGUUCUAUUUGGGAAAGAAAGGCUGAACAAGAAAGUGAAUUUCUAGUUUUUGAUCUGGUUUGUAUUCCUCAAUCUAGAGGGGUAAUUAUGUUGUCAAGAGGAUGGGAGCUUUUAUGUUUCCAGUUGGGCACUUAAGAUUCAUUUGUAGAAGACCUGGGUAAGUCUGACUGGUUACCUUGCAUUCUUCUCUCAGCUACCUGUGGAGUACUUUGAACUGCAUCAACCACUCUUUCUUCAGCUUCAGUGGUUGUAAUUAUGGUACAUGAUUCCUCUCCGGCUGAUUAGGAAGAGACUGCAUUGUCUUCACUUGACUCGUUCACUUGACUCAUCAUGUCUAUCUUUCCGUUUGUCAUAUAAAUGACUUCACCUGGAACCAACAGAGGCUCUUCAUCUUGAUCAUCCUUGUUUCGUUUCUCACAAGAGAGAUAGGACUCAUCAAAGAUUACAUGUACACUUUCAUCAACACACUGAGUUCGCUCAUUGUAUAUCUUAUAGGCUUUAAUUUGAGAAGAGUACCCCAAAAAGAUUCCUUAAUCACUCUUGGCAUCAAAUUUUCCAAGAUGAUCCUUUCCAUUGUUGAGAACAUAACAUUUACACCCAAAUGUUCUUACGUGAGUCAGCUUGGACUUCCUUCCAUUUAGCAACUCAUAGGGAGUUUUGUUCAAAAGAGACAUGAUCAUACACCUGUUCACCAAGUAGCAGGCAGUGGUGAUAGCUUCAGCCCAGAAGUUCUUAGCAAUCCCACUAUUGAUCAGCAUUGUUCUUGCCAUUUCCUCAAGGGUUUUGUUCUUCCUUUCCACAACUCUAUUUUGCUGUGGAGUUAUUGGGGCUGGGAAAUUGUGAGUAAUGCCAUUCUCGUUACAGAGUUCAUCAAACUUAGCAUUGUUAAACUCUGUUCCAUGAUCUGAUCUAAUGCAUGCUACUCUUGAUUCCAUCUUCACUUGGAUUUUCUUCACAAAGGCUACGAAAACUUCAAAGGUUUCAUCUUUGUUCUAAGGAACAGAGUCCAAGUGAAUCUAGAGUAUUUAUCCACAAUCACAAAGAUAUAUCUCUUUCCUCCCCAACUUUGCACUCUCAUAGGGCCGCAUAGAUCCAUAUGAAGGAGAUCAAGUUGUUUUGAGGUGCUGACAUCCUUCUUUGGCUUGAAUGAGGAUUUCACAUGCUUCCCUCUAGCGCAUGCAUCAUAGACUGUGUUUUUUGAACUUUGACAUGGGCAGAUCACGAGCUAGGUCCUUCUAAACCAGCUUAUUUAGUAGAGAGAAGCUUGUAUGCCCCAGUCUUCUAUGCCACAGUUCAACAUCAUCAUCAACUGCUUUCAAGCAACUCAGAUCACUACUUUGCAUGGACUCAAAAUCAACAACGUAGAUAUUCUUGUAUCUUUUGGCCACAAGUACCACUUCACCAGUUACUAGGUUUGUAACUAUGCAUAUCUUGGACAAGAAUUCCACCUUUUUUCCUUUAUCACAUAUCUGAGGGACACUCAAGAGACUGUACUUAAGGCCAUUGACAUAGUACACAUUCUCAAUUGAGUGAGUGAGUGACUUUCCAAUUUUUCCAACACCAAGAAUGUACCUAUUUUUCCCACUUUCAAAGGAUGCAUUCCCUCCUUGCACGGUUUUUAGUGAAAGAAAGUCCAUGGUAUUUCUAGUCAUGUGCUUUAAGCAUCCACUAUCCAUGAACCGUUGUUGACUACUUUCUUUCACUGUUCCCUACACAAGUAGAUCACGGUUUAGCUUUAGGAACCCAAACAAAUUCGGGUCCCUUAUAAUAAAUAAGAGGAUGAUUAAGUGCUAUUCUGGUCUAUGCAGGUAACAUGCGUUUUUUAUGGGUGGAACCUAUUCCUCUUUUAGGAGUUACUCUUUCAGCAAAAACUUUGUUCUUCUGAAGAGACUGAACCCUGGCUUUGCAAUUUUCUUUCAAAUGCUUAUUGUUCCCACAGUAGGUACACAUCUAGUUAUCAGGUAUAAUUACGUACUUGCAAUGAGAGUUAUAAGGAGUUCUCUCCCUUUGAAACCCUAUUCUUUGCCUGUUUCCACCAUUAUUAAUGUACAUGUCAGUAAUAGCAUUUGAGGACCAGGUCCACUUAAGGGACUUCUCAAGAUCAUUUUUUACUCUUUCCAAUUCUGCUUGGAGCUGUCUAUUUUUCUCAAGUUCAGCACACAAACUAGUUCUCACAGUAUUUAACUUGUUUUCAAGCUUAAUGUGUGCCUCACUAGCUACUUCUUUUCCUUUUUUAGAAUUUCCUCGCCUACACUCAGCUCUGAGUCCCUCUAUUGUUUCCUUUAAGUAUACAAUCACUACUAAGAGGUCAUCUCUCUCCUGCUCAAUAAUAGUCACUUUAUCCACUAAGGCAUCCUUUUCUUUACUGAAAUUCUCAAUGGUUUCUUUUAAGUCAACUACUACUAUAAUCAGAUCAUCUCUUUCGUGUUCUAUACUAGUGAUUUUCUCAAUUACAACCUUCUUUUCAUUUUCUAGAUUAUCUAUAGUUUCUUUCAAAUCAACCACACAGAUUACCAAGUCAUCUCUGGUUUGCUCAGCAUCUCCUAAUUCUAUGGUCAAGCCAUCAUUAUCAUUUACAAGACUAUGAUAGGCAUCAAUUAACAUAUUUGCUAAUGACAUAAGUUUCUUAUGAGAGUAGGAUUUCAUAUUUCUCUGAACAUCCCUAAAGUUUACCUUAUCAUUAUCGUCAUUUUCAUCAUUGUCUGAUUGAGCCAUCAAAGGAAAUAUUGAAUCAUAUUCAUUUUUUUCACUUUCAACGGCUAUCAUAGAACUAUCACUUGCAUCAGUUUCUUCUUCAGUCUCACUGGAGGAAUCUCCCCAUGCUGCAAGAGCUUGUUUCACAACGUUAUCAGUGGUAUUCUUUCUUUUGAAGCAUUUGUCAAGAACCGGGUUCCACUUGGCUGCUUUAUCAGGGUUAUACUUGAAGUGUUCUUGCUUUAGGAGAGGGUAAUCUUUGAUAAAAUGCCUUGGAUUUCCACUUUUAUGACAAAGGUCAUAAUUCUUUGGUCUGCUGGAAAUGCCUCUCUUUGGUAUCCCUCCAUUCCUUCUGACCAUUUUCUGAAACCUUUUGGUUAGGUAAGCCAUGUCACAGUCCUCCUCACUUGAGUCAUUGCUUUCAACUUUGAGUACCAGGUUCUUUUCCUUCUUUGGUUCUCUUCUUUCACUGUCCUUCUUCUUCUUCAUUUCGCAAGUUUUAAGAUUUCCAACUAGCUCAUCUAUAGUUAGGGCCUGCAAAUCCUUUGCUUCAGUAAUGGCAUUCCCUUUACUCUCCCAUGAAUUGGGCAAAAACUGAGAAUUUUCCUCACGAGCUUGUUCCUAGGAAUGAUUUUACCAAGCGAGUGUAGCUCAUUUAUGAUGGAAGUGAAUCUUGUGUGCAUGUCUUGAAUAGAUUCAUCGUCUUUCACCCUGAAGAGCUCAUACUUAGUGGUGAGCAUAUCAAUCUUAGAUUGCUUUACUUGAGUGGUUCCCUCGUGUGCUGUUUGUAAAGCUUCCCAUCAUUCCUUGGUGGAUUGACAAGCUGAGAUCUUUUUGUAUUCAUCAGGUCUUAUGUCAAACACCAAAAAAAAUUGGCACAAAAGUUUUUCUCCACAAUUUUCUUAUCUGCAUCACUGUAUUCUUUCCUGGUUUUUGGCGUCGUCAGUGGAGGGUUUUCGCCCUUCUUUGUUGGGACAUAAGGACCAUCACAUAUAAUAUCCCACAACUCAGAAUCUUCUGCCAUGAUAAAGUCAUGCAUUCUUGUCUUCUACCAUCCAUAGUAUUGCCCAUUGAACCUGGGUGGUCUAUACGUAGACUGACCUUCUUCAAAAUUUGGUGGAGCAGCCAUGAGGAUCCUUCCUAGAUGUGAACCUGAUAGAAAGAACUCGUUCUGAUACCAAUUGAUAGAAUAUAUAAGCUCACCAAACUAUAUAGAGACCAGUUUCUAUAUAGGUUUCCACAGAUAACACUAAUGCAAUAGUAAGUAAAUGGUACAGGGAACUUUUACAUGGAAAAAUCCCUGAUCAAGGGAAUAAAAAACCACGACCUACACUGGUAGGAUUUCAACUUCACUAUGAGCAAUCUUUAGAUUACAAUCUAUGCAAUCUAGGAAAUAAACUCUUAAUCCCUCCCUAACUUGUAAUAUACCUAUUACAAGCCACUUUGCAAUACACCUAUUACAAAGACUUCAACUCAUGACUAACUCUAGUCACGACACAAACACUAAAGGUUUAUGAUUUUUCAAGAGUUCCUAAAAGAAGCUUCUAAAUAAGCAAAGUAGGAAUUUCAAUGAAGAACAAUUACAAAGUUACAACUCAACUAAAGACAUAUACAAGAGACUUGUUGUCGGAACUAGUCCAUAGUAGUGUUAUACUUUGUUCUUGAUGCACUUGAGAAUUGAAUGCUUGAUUGUCAAAUGCUUGAAUGCUUUUGUGAAUUCUCUAAGUGUCCAAGUGAUGUUUUGUCGUAAUGUUUAAUGUUAAUACAACAUGGAUGACAUCACAUGAAUGAUAUAAUCACUUCGUAGGUCAAUAAGAAGUGACUGCUGAACUUGUUCCCUAGGUGCAACUAUAAAUAGUGACUUCAACAGUCAUUGUAAAGGACACGAAUUUUCUGACCAACUUAUGCUACAUACUACUUGAAAAGCUCAAUAAUACUUUAUUUCUUGUCUAUUGAUAUUUAUAUUUCUGCCUUCGGAAGCCUGCUCUCGAAACCAAGCUAUCUUCUGCCUUAUCUCGAUUUCAACGCUAAGUUUUGUAUUUUAUUUAUCAUUUUGGGAUCAAAUCGAUUCUCUUGUCUAUAAACCACGUUAUAAAUUCAACUGUACCGUUUUACGGAUAAACAAUUGGCUACUUGAAAUGGAGGUUUACAAAUUAAAUGAUCAAUUGCCAUAUCAUGUACUGUGUUUAAAUUUGAUAUAUUGAAUAGUACAUGCGAUCAGAAAAUGAUCGACAUGCAUAUAAGCCAAUGGAGCUAGUUCAACUAAUAUCUUCUUUACAUUUUAUUUUCAAGUAAAACAUUACAUUCAAUUGUCGACUCUCCACAAAACAAGAAACCUAAUGGGGAACAGAAGGAGCAAUCACAAAUUAUUAAAUAACGUCUAAGCAUGAUUCAUCUACAUGAAAAAUAGUGAAAGAAGAAAAACGACUCCCAUAGAAGAAGCAAAGGCCAAAAAUUUUGGAGAAGCAGAUGAUGAGGAAGGAGCCUUAGCAUCUGAAGACGAUGAGUGAUCGGAAGAAGGCAAAGGUGAAGGAGAAGGAGCAAGAGGCGUACGUGACUUGAAGCCAAUGGUGAAGUUGCAAGUCCCNNNN